rnacentral:lncRNA from 12 species
GGCUUUUUUACCACCCACGGGGGAUUUCAGACCUACCCACUCUCACCUCAUUGGGAGCAGGGAAAUAAAAAAAGUGUUAAUGGACCUUUUUCUGCAGCUGAGAGGGACAGUUUAUGACAGAGGUGACAAACUUCAUUUUAAUGAGAGGCGAAUUCCGCUUUAAACUCCAGAUGUCACCCCCUCCUCGUCUGUGGAUCCGGGGCAUCGAAAGUGGAAGCCGAGGCGUCGGGCUGGGAGGAGGGAGGCCUGGGAAGAGGUCCCCUCCUGGCCUCCUGUUUCCUCGGCUCACACACGUCCCCCUCCCUUUAGGGGCGUGCUUAUGGCCUCCGCGGAUGGGAGGGGAAACUGAGGCAGAGGGAAGUUCAAAGGCUUGCCCCCCCCCCACUGCUUCAGUGGUGAAGGAAAACCUAAAUGAUAUAUAUAUUUUCUUAAUUCAUGUUUAUUUUUUAAAAAGAUUUUAUUUAUUUAUUCAUGAGACACACGGAGAGAGGCAGAGACCCAGGCAGAGGGAGACGCAGGCUCCGUGCAGGGAGCCCGAGGCGGGACUCGAUCCCGGGACCCCGGGGUCACGGCCUGAUGGAAGGCGGUGCUGAACCACUGAGCGCCCCGCGCUGCCCUGAAUGAUAUUUUCUAUUUGCUUAUGCGGUUGGCGUGUGACAUCUGAAUCUGGGUCGACACCAAGCGGUGUCCUCUUACCCCCCGUCUUCCUGCCUGACCUUGGGGGCGUGGGAGUCCAGCCAGGUCACUCCCAGGGGGGCAGGGAGCACGGGUCAGGGAAGGUGGGCCCGCUCCGGCCCAGAGCACCUGUGGUCACCCCGACCCAGGGGAGGGCCCCGGGGGCGGGGGCGGGGAAGCGAUGCGGAGAGCCCGCAGACGCAGGUUCCUGUCCACGCGCCGCCCCGUGCCUUAACCUCAGAGAGGCUCACUUUUCCCCACCCGUGCCGUGCCGUGGGCAUAGUAGAGCCCUCCCCGGGGCGGUCAGGGGGAUUAAAUUAGAGAGAGCAAGGCUGCUGCGUGCUCGGACCUCUACCCUCCUCACUCCCAGCACCACGCACCAAGCCGGCCGCUUCUCGGGGUUUCAGCCUCCCUUGACUCGCCCACACCGCCCCUAGCUCGCUGGCAGAGAGAAGGUGGUGGCCAAGGACCCCUGGGGUGGUGGUGCAGGGCGGGGGUGGUUGGAGGGCCCGGAGGCCUGAGGCGGGUUGAGGGUGCUCUUCCGGCCGGAUCCCAGGUGCCGAGCAGCUUCAGGAGGCAGGGAGGAGGCCUUGCAGGGGCUGCGGGAGGGGGCGAGGAAGAGCUGGCUCUCAGGAGGGACCCCAAGGCGGUGGCCUGGGCAGAGGGGCCCUAAAGGAGAGCUUUGGAGGAGCGAGGUCAGGAGCUAGAGGCCCCGGGGCCGGGUGUCGCUCUGCUGCAGGGACGCUGGCCAGCCACCCGCUGAGCCUGUCUCCUCUGGGCCUCGGGCCAGGCUGUGGGAGGAGGAGGAGAGGCCUUGAGCCGGGAGUGGGGGGGUUGGGGGACUGGGGGGAGCCAUGCUCACGGGGUGGCGGGGUGGUGUGUGUGUGGCCUGGCAGUGCUUCCUGCGGUCACGCCCGGGGCAGGGGCCUGGGGCAGCCCGGGAGGGGGCCAGGUGGGGAUUCUCAGGCCCCCAGGGAGGGCCUUCCUCCCCUCUUAUCCUUGCUCUGCUCCCUCCUCUGACGGCAGCCAGCUCGGGGUUCCGGGCCUCCCUGAGGGCUCCUGCGGGACGUCCAGGUGGGUGGCUGCACCCAGAGGCAGAGUAGGCUACCCUGGGGGCGGCCCCGAGCCGGGCUCUGUGCCAGGCUCCUUCUGCAUCGCCAGUGGCAUCCCUGCGCCGACUUGGCAAGCUAGGUGCCACUCUCUCCAUUUUACAGAAGGGGAGGCUGAGGCCCGCACAGUUGAGGGACAUGAUUAGAAUUGGGGUCACCUGAUUCUAAAGCCAGCUCCGUUUCCUCCUAAACCCUAGUGGUCCCGGGGUGGCGGUGAGGAGUGGCACGUCCAGGGGCGGGGACACAGGGAAAAUCCUGCCUCACGAGGACGAGGACGGCUGGGAGCGCCAGAGGAGGGCUUCAGUUCCUGGUUGCGCACACCUGGGCC